CGGCAUAAAACCAGCUAAUAAAUUUUCCGUAUAUUUUCACCGAAAAAAUUCGUAAAACCUCAAACAUGUGCUGCGGUCCCUGUUAUGGUUCUUGCUGCGGUCCCUGCUACAGUUCAUAUUGCGGUCCCUGCGGACCAUGUUGCGGUCCUUGUGGACCCUGCUGCGGCCCUUGCGGACCUUGUGGGGGAUGUGGCCCUUAUGGAUCCUGCUGUGGCCGUUGCUAAGCGUCUCUAUGCCGUUUCUUCUCAAUUCAGCUCCGGGGAUCUAGAGAGCCAAUGCUAAAGCGGCUAUUUGACAGAGAGCGUCGCUGGCAAAAGAAAACAAAUAAAUAUUUUAGGAGCAAUCUACGUGAAUCUAAAGAAGGAAAGAGAGCGUCCAGAGAUGAUCACCUUGCCAAUCAAGGGGACUGGAAAAAAUUAAGUGCAGCCAAUCUAUAGCUAUAUUCGAAUUUUUUCGGUUAC